rnacentral:rRNA from 1 species
ACGGGGCCGGCACAAGCGGUGGAGUAUGUGGUUUAAUUCGAUGCAACGCGAAGAACCUUACCUGGUCUUGACAUCCCGGAGACCCUUAGGAAACUAGGGGGUGCUUCCAUCUGGAAGAAUCUGGAGACAGGUGCUGCAUGGCUGUCGUCAGCUCGUGUCGUGAGAUGUUGGGUUAAGUCCCGCAACGAGCGCAACCCUUGCCUUUAGUUGCCAGCAGUUCGGCUGGGCACUCUAAAGGGACUGCCGGUGUUAAACCGGAGGAAGGUGGGGAUGACGUCAAGUCCUCAUGGCCUUUAUGACCAGGGCUACACACGUACUACAAUGGCCGAUACAAAGGGCAGCGACACUGCGAGGUGAAGCCAAUCCCGUAAAAUCGGUCUCAGUCCGGAUUGGAGUCUGCAACUCGACUCCAUGAAGUUGGAAUCGCUAGUAAUCGUGGAUCAGCAUGCCACGGUGAAUACGUUCCCGGGCCUU